AACGAACGCUGGCGGCAUGCCUAACACAUGCAAGUCGAACGAGACCUUCGGGUCUAGUGGCGCACGGGUGCGUAACGCGUGGGAACCUGCCCUUAGGUUCGGAAUAACUCCCCGAAAGGGGUGCUAAUACCGGAUAAUGUCUUCGGACCAAAGAUUUAUCGCCUUUGGAUGGGCCCGCGUUGGAUUAGCUAGUUGGUAGGGUAAAAGCCUACCAAGGCGACGAUCCAUAGCUGGUCUGAGAGGAUGAUCAGCCACACUGGGACUGAGACACGGCCCAGACUCCUACGGGAGGAAGCAGUAGGGAAUAUUGGACAAUGGGCGAAAGCCUGAUCAAGCAAUGCCGCGUGAGUGAUGAAGGAAUUAGGGUUGUAAAGCUCUUUUACCCGGGAUGAUAAUGACAGUACCGGGAGAAUAAGCUCCGGCUAACUCCGUG
rnacentral:rRNA from 1 species